rnacentral:hammerhead_ribozyme from 10 species
AACGGGUCGUGAUUUGGAGCUUCACCUGAUGAGCCCAAGGCAGGGCAAAACCAGUC